rnacentral:tRNA from 1 species
GCCCGAGUGGUGAAACUGGUAGACACGCUAGGUUCAGGGUCUAGUGGCCUUACGGCUGUGGAGGUUCAAGUCCUCUCUCGGGCA